UGCUCAUUUCUCAGACCAGAGAUGGUUCCCAUCCCCUAUUAUGUCUAGUUUCGCCCCCUCCUAGUCCCACAUCCUCUCUAGGCCAACUGCUCACCUGACCAGACUUUCUUUCCAAGUGUCGGCAACUAGAGUGGCAGUUGCUAAGCAACGCCAACCUUUCCUCCUCCUACCAGUGGUCCUUGAUUCUACUCCCCUUCCCUUAGCUCUUGAUGACUUUCCCAUUAUGAUACUGGAUGUGGGAAGGAGCCCCCUUCCUGGGGAGAGACAUGAAGUCACCUUUCUUCUUCACAAGCCUAAGAAUGAGGGAGCUUUUCCUGUCUGGCAACAAAGCAGAGCAGAUAUCUCUCAUGGGCCCCAUAUAAUCAUGGGCUCCCUGUACUCCAAACUUAUGCCUCACCCAUCGGCUAUAGUGUGUGAAGUCCUGCCAUUAGAGUCAGCAGAGGAAAAAACUGAGGAUCGGAGAGGCGAAAUUAUUUGUCCAAGGUCACCAAUCCACCAAAUGAAGCGGGGUAGAGAAGUAGAAUCAGAAUCCAAUUGAUCCAGCGUUCUUUCCACUACUGCACGAGUCUCUCUAACCUCAACUUCCUAUAAUUCUCAAGAAAUAAGCCUUUCUAACAACGAUAAAACAUGCUUCUCACCUCCUGAUGGAACAAUGAUGGACUCAGGAUGCAGAUUGAGACGUAUUUUUGGACAACGCCAAUAAAGAAUUUGUUCUGCCUGA